rnacentral:lncRNA from 1 species
CUCAGAACAGGCUCUAAACGGCUUCCUUCGCUACCCUGCAAGCUGAGAAUUCCCUCCCCUUCUCACAAUUUUCAGUGUAAACCAGACCCCUUGUCCUCAUGACCAGACAGAAGAAGAAAGUAAAGAGGAAUGGACUUGGCUCAAGGAUGUGGAUACAGGCACAACCAUUUGCCAGUCUGGGAAGGAGUGGAGUGUCCAGGUGGGCAUAGGGCUCUCUGAUCCCUCAUUGCGUUCACAGCUCUCUCACUGUCUCUCACGACCUGGUUUCCCUGCCAGGCCCUUCUGCUCUGCCUCCACCUCGCCCUGCCAGGUGCCAGGACCUCUUGGCCAGAGAGGGGGCCUGCUCUCCAUGGCCCAUCAUUUCCCACUUCCAAGCCGUGACUGUCACACCAUUCCCUCCCCUCUUUGGGACAGAAGUAAAUUCAAUCCACAC